rnacentral:rRNA from 1 species
UACGAAGGGGGCUAGCGUUGCUCGGAAUCAUUGGGCGUAAAGAGCGUGUAGGCGGCCCGAUAAGUCCGCCGUGAAAGUCCAGGGCUCAACCCUGGAAUGCCGGUGGAAACUGUCGGGCUGGAGUCCGGAAGAGGCGAGUGGAAUUCCUGGUGUAGCGGUGAAAUGCGCAGAUAUCAGGAGGAACACCGGUGGCGAAGGCGGGUCUCUGGGCCGUAACUGACGCUGGAGGAGCGAAAGCCGUGGGGAGCAACAGG